rnacentral:rRNA from 1 species
UACGUAGGGGGCUAGCGUUGUCCGGAAUCAUUGGGCGUAAAGCGCGCGUAGGCGGCCCGGUAAGUCCGCUGUGAAAGUCAAAGGCUCAACCUUUGAAUGUCAGCGGAUACUGCCGGGCUAGAAUCCGGAAGAGGCGAGUGGAACUCCUGGUGUAGCGGUGGAAUGCGCAGAUAUCAGGAAGAACACCAACGGCGAAGGCAGCUCGCUGGGACGGAACUGACGCUAAGGCGCGAAAGCGUGGGGAGCGAACAGG